rnacentral:rRNA from 1 species
GUAAAGGCCUACCAAGCCGACGAUCAGUAGCCGACCUGAGAGGGUGACCGGCCACAUUGGGACUGAGACACGGCCCAAACUCCUACGGGAGGCAGCAGUGGGGGAUAUUGCGCAAUGGGGGAAACCCUGACGCAGCAACGCCGCGUGAAGGAAGAAGGUUUUCGGAUUGUAAACUUCUUUUGUCAGGGACGAAUAGAUGACGGUACCUGACGAAUAAGCUCCGGCUAACUAC